rnacentral:rRNA from 1 species
AACGAACGCUGGCGGCAUGCCUAACACAUGCAAGUCGAACGAGACCUUCGGGUCUAGUGGCGCACGGGUGCGUAACGCGUGGGAACCUGCCCUUAGGUUCGGAAUAACUCCCCGAAAGGGGAGCUAAUACAGGAUAAUGUCUUCGGACCAAAGACUUAUCGCCAUUGGAUGGGCUCGCGUUGGUUUAGCUAGUUGGUAGGGGAAAAGCCUACCAAGGCGACGAUCCAUAGCUGGGCUGAUAGGAUGAUCAGCCGGACUGGGGCUGAGACACGGCCCAGACUGCUACGGGAGGGAGCAGUGGGGAAUAUAAUGGGAUGGGCGAAGGCGUGAUCCAGCAAUGCCGCGUGAGUGAUGAAGGCCUUAGGAUUGUAAAGCUCUUUUGCCCGGGAUGAUAAUGACAGUACCGGGAGAAUAAGCUCCGGCUAACUCCGUG